UGUUCCUCUCCUCCCCAAAUUCAUAUACUGAAGUCCUAAUCCCUGCCCCCCAACUCAGUACCUCAGAGAUUAUUGCAUUUGGAAACAGGGUCAAAUGAAGACCUAAUCCAAUAGGACUGGUGAUCUUCUAAGAGGAGAGCAUGGACAGACAUGAACAGAGGGAAGAGGAAGAGCAGACACAGGGAAAAGUGGGCCGGCUGCAUGGAAUGCUCCAGGGCAGUGAUGAUGCCUAGUUAAUCCUGUGUGCCCACCACAGACUCUAAUGCAUCGAUGAUACGUGAAUGAACGAAUCCAUCAAUGGUAACAAGUGAGGCCUGUGUGGACCACUAUACCUGUGACACUGUCAAUUUCUCCUCAUUUGAAUGAUACUCACACUAUUCACCAUGUGUGGCUCCUCCAGUCAUUCAACAAAGACUCAUCAGACACUAGACAUACAAGGAACGGUGGAAGAUGCCAAUUUCAGACUGAUUCCGGAUGCGAAGUCUGUUCUGUCUGACCUCACUGAUUCCUGGGGGAUGUGUAAAGAC